rnacentral:rRNA from 1 species
AAUUCGAUGCAACGCGAAGAACCUUACCUGGUCUGACAUCCCGGAGACCCUUAGGAAACUAGGGGGUGCUUCCAUCUGGAAGAAUCUGGAGACAGGUGGUGCAUGGUUGUCGUCAGCUCGUGUCGUGAGAUGUUGGGUUAAGUCCCGCAACGAGCGCAACCCUUGUGUUUAGUUGCAAACAGGUCAAGCUGUGCACUCUAGACAGACUGCCGUGGACAACACGGAGGAAGGUGGGGAUGACGUCAAAUCAUCAUGCCCCUUAUGAUCUGGGCUACACACGUGCUACAAUGGCCGGUACAACGGGCAGCGAAGGAGCGAUCCGGAGCGAAUCCUAAAAAGCCGGUCCCAGUUCGGAUUGCAGGCUGAAACUCGCCUACAUGAAGUUGGAGUUGCUAGUAAUCGCGAAUCAGAAUGUCGCGGUGAAUGCGUUCCCGGGUCUU